UACGUAGGGUGCAAGCGUUGUCCGGAUUUAUUGGGCGUAAAGCGCGUGUAGGCGGCCAUUCAGGUCAGCUGUGAAAACUCGAGGCUCAACCUCGAGACGUCGGUUGAAACCGUUUGGCUAGAGUCCGGAAGAGGAGAGUGGAAUUCCCGGUGUAGCGGUGAAAUGCGCAGAUAUCGGGAAGAACACCCGUGGCGAAGGCGGCUCUCUGGGACGGUACUGACGCUGAGACGCGAAAGCGUGGGGAGCGAACAGG
rnacentral:rRNA from 1 species